GAGAAUGCAGGAAUGAGUAGCGAGAAGGCGGGCGAGAAUCCCGCCGGCCGGAAGUCCAAGGUUUCCAGGGGAAGGCUUGUCCGCCCUGGGGAAGUCGGGACCUAAGCAUAAGCAAAAUUGUGAUGGCGAAUGGAAAACAGGUUAAUAUUCCUGUACCGCUGUUAUCGCUUGAGAGACGGAGUGACGCAGGAAGGUAUGCGAGAAGGCUGACGGUUUAGCCUUUCUAAGGGCCCAGCGUGGGCGUGCAGGUAAAUCCGCACGCCUAAACGUGAGACCUGACGGGGAAGUGCAUUUGCAUAAGUCGCAGAUCCUACACUGCCAAGAAAAACUUCUAUCGAUGAGAAGCAGCGCCCGUACUGUAAACCGACACAGGUGGACAGAGUGAGAAACUUAAGGCCGACAGGAUAACUCUAGCUAAGGAACUCUGCAAAAUAGCCCCGUAACUUCGGGAGAAGGGGUGCCUGACAUACCUGAGAGGAGAAGCGCCUCAAGGGGAAACAGGCCGCAGUGAAGAGUCCCAAGCAACUGUUUACCAAAAACACAGGUCUAUGCUAAGCUGAAAGGCGACGUAUAUGGGCUGACACCUGCCCAGUGCCGGAAGGUUAAGAGGAGGAGUGAGAGCUCCGAUUUGAAGCCCCGGUGAACGGCGGCCGUAACUAUAACGGUCCUAAGGUAGCGAAAUUCCUUGUCGGGUAAGUUCCGACCUGCACGAAUGGUGAAAUGAUUUGGGAGCUGUCUUGGCUGGAGACCUGGUGAAGUUGUAAUGUCGGUGAAGAUACCGACUACCUGCAGUAGGACGGAAAGACCCCGUGGAGCUUUACUGUAGUUUGGCAUUGGGUUUUGGCUGUGUGUGUAUAGGAUAGUUGGGAGACUGUGAAGUUAAGGCGUCAGUUUUAACAGAGUCGUCGUUGGAAUACCAACCAUAUGCCGUUGAAAUUCUAAUCUGGUAACGGAGACAGUGCUAGAUGGGCAGUUUGACUGGGGCGGUCGCCUCCAAAAGAGUAACGGAGGCGUUCAAAGGUUCCCUCAGGCUGGAUGGAAAUCAGCCUAAGAGUGCAAACGCAUAAGGGAGCUUGACUGCAAGACUGACGGGUCGAGCAGGUACGAAAGUAGGAGUUAGUGAUCCGGCGGUUCCGCAUGGAAGGACCGUCGCUCAACGGAUAAAAGCUACCCCGGGGAUAACAGGCUGAUACUUCCCAAGAGUCCAUAUCGACGGAAGUGUUUGGCACCUCGAUGUCGGCUCGUCUCAUCCUGGGGCUGGAGAAGGUCCCAAGGGUUGGGCUGUUCGCCCAUUAAAGAGGCACGCGAGCUGGGUUCAGAACGUCGUGAGACAGUUCGGUCCCUAUCCACUGCAGGCGCUUGAAUACUGUAAAGAUCUGACCUUAGUACGAGAGGACCGGGUUGGACAGACCUCUGAUGUAUCAGUUGUCACGCCAGUGGCAUGGCUGAGUAGUCACGUCUGGUACGGAUAACCGCUGAAAGCAUCUAAGCGGGAAGCC
rnacentral:rRNA from 1 species